CACAAGUUGUCAAACCUGCUAAUCAUAAUUUGGUCAGUAAGAAUCUAGGAUCCUGAAGAAGACAUGAAGAUAAAUGACUCUUUAAAAUUGAAGAAGGAGCAAUCAUUACCUCUGUUGUUUUGAACCAAAAAGGUCUUACUCUAUGCAAUGUUAGUGCAAAAGACGAAAAUCGACUCUUCAGAGGUUCCUGCUGGGCCUCCCACUGCUCCAGUGCUUUUGAUGAAGCUAGACUAUUCCCUGCAGCAGUUCCUUUUCCCAUGUUUUGGCCUCUGAGGAUCAACAGUACAGCUCUAUCUUCUUUUUGAUGAGAUCUUUAGUCUCUCUUGAUAGAAAUAACAGAAGCUUUCUGAAAUGAAAACAGAAAUGUUACAACUUGCACCACAGUACUGGACUGAAACGAAGAUGUAACACAGCCAUAAUAAUUUAAAUUAAUAGCAAAUAAAUAAAGAAAAAAAGAACUUCAUUGUGAGGACCAUAGUCAUGGGAUAGCUCUGUCUUUUCGGGGAAAGUGGAGUAGAGGGACAGAGUCACCCCAGGAGAAAAAAUGCUUAAAUUAAGACUCCCUGAGAGACUGAAUAAGAGUAUGAUUAGUUCAGCCUUGCUUUCAUCCUCCACUUCCCCCUCCCACUGUAGACUUCAGUUUUAAUAAUGAUUAAAGAAUAAUGCCUGAAUCCCAUCUGAAUGGCUUUUGAGAUUUAACUCACUGAAUCUAUUCAUAGCUUUGAGCUUGUAAGGGGGACUGAACAGAUCUGCACAACUAAUCGUGGAAUAUUACACUGAUACUUCAUCUCCCACAUCAAUACCAAUUACGCCUGCACAGAGAGCAUCACAUAUUAUUUUAAUAGGAUAGGAAUUUUUAAUCCAGUCAGGUAGUUCUGGAUGAAUGUGUUUGUAUGUCUGUCAUUAAAAUUUGGUGGCUCAUGCUGCUCAAGACAGACACAUUUUGAAUGUUUAAAAUUUCCACAGAUGUUAUUUAUCCAUCAGGAUGGAAAAUUUCCUGCUCUCCAGUGUAUAGAUUCUGCCUCAUUAACAUAAAUAAAGAAUAAGGCAUAACAACAACAAUCUUGCUUAAUGUGUACACACAGAAAUAUUGUCAUAGGCAUCUGGCAAUCAGUUGGAGACGGUGAAAACUGCUAAAUGAAUGAAAGUGGCAGAACUAGCAGAAGUAUGAGAUCCCAUACUGGAGAAAAAGGCUCACUGUUAAAAUAUUUUGUUUCUUUGUUCUACUCCUUUUUUAUUUUCAAGGCAUUUUAUUCAGCUUGGACCUUCAGAUAAAAGGCACCUUUACCUAUUAUUUGAGCUGUUAACAUUAUUUAAAAAUUCCUUCCCUUAAUUGAGAAGUAAAGAUAAAUUUCUCUCAAAGCUAUUUGGUUAAAAAAUCAUAAAGAAGAAUGCUAACUUUUUAACAGCAGCAUCUAUAUGUCACAGGCAUGAUUUGAGAUCGUGAUUGUAAAAGAAAUACAGCUAAUAGCGGUAUAUCCCUUG
rnacentral:lncRNA from 1 species